rnacentral:rRNA from 1 species
GACGAACGCUGGCGGCGUGCUUAACACAUGCAAGUCGAACGGAAAGGCCCUGCUCUUGUGGGGUGCUCGAGUGGCGAACGGGUGAGUAACACGUGAGUAACCUGCCCUUGACUGUGGGAUAACUUCAGGAAACUGGGGAUAAUAUCGGAUAGGAGCUCCUGCUGCAUGGUGGGGGAUGGAAAGUUUCGGCGGUUGGGGAUGGACUCGCGGCUUAUCAGCUUGUUGGUGGGGUAGUGGAUUACCAAGGCUUUGACGGGUAGCCGGCCUGAGAGGGUGACCGGCCACAAGGGGACUGAGGGACGGCCCAGACGGCAACGUGAGGCAGCGGGGGAAAGUAUUACACAGUGGGCGGGAGCGUGAGGCGACGACGCCGCGUGCGGGAAGACGGGUUACGGGUUGAAAACCACUUUCUCCUGAGACGAGGCGUUAGUGACGGUAAUGGGUAAAGAAGCACCGGCUAACUACGUG